rnacentral:rRNA from 1 species
GAAUUUUGGACAAUGGGGGCAACCCUGAUCCAGCCAUCCCGCGUGGGCGAUGAAGGCCUUCGGGUUGUAAAGCACCUUUGGCAGGGAAGAAAAGGCUCUGGCUAAUACCUGGAGCUGCUGACGGUACCGGCAGCAUAAGCACCGCCUAACUACGUGCACGCAGCCGCGAUAAUACGUAGGGGGCAAGCGUUAAUCGGAAUUACUGGGCGUAAAGCGUGCGCAGGCGGUUUGGCAAGAAGGAUGUGAAAUCCCAGGGCUUAACCUUGGAACUGCAUUCUUAACUGCCAGGCUAGAGUAUGUCAGAGGGGGGUAGAAUUCCACGUGUAGCAGUGAAAUGCGUAGAGAUGUGGAGGAAUACCGAUGGCGAAGGCAGCCCCCUGGGAUAAUACUGACGCUCAUGCACGAAAGCGUGGGGAGCAAACA